UCCACAUAACAUUCCAGCCUAUUAUUUUGGGUUUGCCGUUUUUUUUUUAAAUUUUUUUUAUUACCCUCUGAUGGGGUUUAUACAGAUGUCUCCGAAAGAUAAGAAAAAUAAAUUACAUCUGUCACGCCCCAAUCCCGACAUAUGUCCAGAAUCGACACGUGACGUCAUUAAAUACUCGUAUAUCUCACAUACCCCGCCUCCGGGAUAUGGCAAUUCACAACUCGAGAAACAAAUUGCAAAGUAAAUAUUUUUUGUUUACUUUAUGGCUGCAUCUAACCUCCUCGUUAGACUACCUACGUACCCUCAAUAGGGAUCAAGCCAUUCGUAGUUUACUAUUUACUACAAUCGAAUAUUCAUCACCUAAAUUGCUAUGCCUCAACCAUAUAUCACAAAGCAUAUCAUAAUUACAAUAAGCAAAACCAACAUCAUUCCGUAAUCACAUCAAACAAUAAUGCCAACCAUCAUAAUCAUUAAUAUCACAUACCACUCAUCGAAAUGCAAGGCUAAAGCAACAUAGUUCGGUCGAAGCCUACAUCUCUAUAGCUAUCUCAAUCCAAACUCAAUAAAACCCAAGGUGAAUACUAUUCUGGACCAUCACUCAACGGAAUUGUGAAGUAUGAGGGAUUCCGGACCAUCUUUCAACAGAAUCCGAAUGGAUACGAUUUCGGACCAUCACUCAACGGAAUCGCGGAGUACAAUACAUAACAGCCACUAAAUGAAACCCAAAUUAGAUAUGAUUUCGGAACAUCACUCAACGAA
rnacentral:lncRNA from 1 species